rnacentral:rRNA from 1 species
UACGAAGGGGGCUAGCGUUGCUCGGAAUUACUGGGCGUAAAGCGCACGUAGGCGGCUUUCUAAGUCGGGGGGUGAAAUCCUGGAGCUCAACCCAGACUGCCUUCUGAUACUGGGGAGCUCGAGUCCGGAAGAGGUGAGUGGAACUCCGAGUGUAGAGGUGAAAUUCGUAGAUAUUCGGAAGAACACCAGUGGCGAAGGCGGCUGCACUGGUGCCGGUACUGACGCUGAGGUGCGAAAGCGGUGGGAG